CCUACGGGAGGCAGCAGUGAGGAAUAUUGGUCAAUGGACGAGAGUCUGAACCAGCCAAGUAGCGUGAAGGAUGACUGCCCUAUGGGUUGUAAACUUCUUUUAUAUGGGAAUAAAACGUUCCACGUGUGGGAUUUUGUAUGUACCAUAUGAAUAAGGAUCGGCUAACUCCGUGCCAGCAGCCGCGGUAAUACGGAGGAUCCGAGCGUUAUCCGGGUGUAUUGGGUUGAAAGGGUGCGUAGGUGGAUUGUUAAGUCAGUUGUGAAAGUUUGCGGCUCAACCGUAAAAUUGCAGUUGAAACUGGUAGUCUUGAGUACAGUAGAGGUGGGCGGAAUUCGUGGUGUAGAGGUGAAAUGCUUAGAUAUCACGAAGAACACCGAUUGCGAAGGCAGCUCACUGGACUGCAACUGACACUGAGGCUCGAAAGUGUGGGUAUCAAACAGGAUUAGAUACCCGAGUAGUC
rnacentral:rRNA from 1 species